ensembl:lncRNA
GCCACACUAUGGAGCGCGUCUGUCAGCUACUGAAUUCAGGGGGAAACGGUUGAGCUGCAGGUUCUCUGGUCAUUAUGUCCCGAUGGAGGGUUGAUAUGCUGCUCCGUUAGUAACCGGUAAAGCCUUGAGGGGGGAGUCAGGUUCUCCCACUCAGCAAGAUGUUGAUUGAUUUCCUGUCUAUAUACAGGUCCGUCAAAAGGAGCAUGAAAUCUGACAAGCCUAAUGGAAACUAAUAGGUCAACCAUAAGGGAAUGAAUAGCUUUACCAUAAUUCGGUGUGGUUCAGUAAUGUAGAACAUGUAGCCAUGACUACUGCUUUAGUUAUCAGAUACAUUAACGUGAACCAUGCAUCUGGAUACAGUCUAACCCUGAAGCAUUUGACAUUGAUCUACAGAGCAUGACUCAAUUAUGUUCUACUUACUCUACUACACCCAAACUUGCUCUAUAGUCUCUAGACUAGUGCUAAACAAUACACAGAAGAUGCAGAAGUCCAGUUUGUCUCUUUAUUCAGAAUAAUAAGUGUAAAUUAUAAUACAAGCAACCAGUUAAGACAUUCAGAAUGGAUGGAACAGUAACAUACAGUAAUCUCCCAGAGUGGUUACUAUGGUGAUGGAGUACAGCGCGCGAGAGAGAGAGAGAAAGAGAGAGAGAGAGAGGGGAUGAGGGGUCAUUCACAACACUAGCUCACAUGUCAACAUGUAAAGGAGAGAACUAUAUACACUCUAAUGCCUCAGAUGUCAUAUGCUGUCACACACACACGACCUGCAGUAUAUUGUCUGCACGCACAGAUAUGAACACUCAGGCACAUGCUUGUGGAGAAAAACAUGAGUACAGACAGAGACGGGCCCACACACUGGCACACAGAGGCAGAUGCAAAAGUCAAUAAACAAUCUAGCUACGGCCACACAGCAUCCUCCCUUUGUGACUGAGGAGAGAGGGGGUUGCUGCAUGCUGUCUGCCAGGGACAGAGGGAGGGGGGGAGAGGGGGUUGCUGCAUGCUGUCUGCCAGGGACAGAGGGAGGAGAGGAGAGAGGGGGUUGCUGCAUGCUGUCUGCCAGGGAGGGA